CAAGUUGCUGACAUCCUUAUCAAAAGUUUGACUCAAGAUCAACACCUACACCUUAUGAGCAAGCUUGGUGUGCUAAACAUUUUGCACCCUUCAGCUUGAGGAGGAGUGUUAAAAUGUAUCAGUUAUUGAUCAAUUUUCUGAGUUAGAUCAUUAGCUCAUUUUUACUGUUUUUUGAUUUUUACUGUUACAUUGAUAAAAGGUUGAUUAGCCAAGUUAGUUAGUGAAGUUAGUGGAGGCACCAAGUUAGUGGU
rnacentral:lncRNA from 1 species